UACGUAGGGGGCUAGCGUUGUCCGGAUUUAUUGGGCGUAAAGAGCGUGUAGGCGGCCAGGUAGGGUUGCUGUGAAAACUCGAGGCUUAACCUCGAGAUGUCGGCGGAAACCAUCUGGCUAGAGUCCGGAAGAGGAGAGUGGAAUUCCUGGUGUAGCGGUGAAAUGCGCAGAUAUCAGGAAGAACACCCGUGGCGAAGGCGGCUCUCUGGGACGGUACUGACGCUGAGACGCGAAAGCGUGGGGAGCGAACAGG
rnacentral:rRNA from 1 species